rnacentral:rRNA from 2 species
CCUUCUGGGACACCACCGGCGGACGGCUCAGUAACACGUCGGUAACCUACCCUCGGGAGGGGGAUAACCCCGGGAAACUGGGGCUAAUCCCCCAUAGGUGUGGGGUACUGGAAGGUCCCCACACCGAAAGGGGCUUCGUGCCCGCCCGAGGAUGGGCCGGCGGCCGAUUAGGUAGUUGGUGGGGUAACGGCCCACCAAGCCGAAGAUCGGUACGGGCCAUGAGAGUGGGAGCCCGGAGAUGGACACUGAGACACGGGUCCAGGCCCUACGGGGCGCAGCAGGCGCGAAACCUCCGCAAUGCGGGAAACCGCGACGGGGGGACCCCCAGUGCCGUGGCAACGCCACGGCUUUUCCGGAGUGUAAAAAGCUCCGGGAAUAAGGGCUGGGCAAGGCCGGUGGCAGCCGCCGCGGUAAUACCGGCGGCCCGAGUGGUGGCCGCUAUUAUUGGGCCUAAAGC